UCUGAAAUAGCAAGAGGCUUGCCCCAAAUUAGCAUGCCACCACUUAUUGACCGAACCCUUCUCCGAGCAAGAGUGCCACCAAUCCCUAGAUUUCAUCAUCUCGAAUAUGGCCCACCUCCUUCCUUAAACACCUCUACGUCACUUGGCCCUAAUACCCAUAAGCCCUCAAUUGUAUCUGUUUUCAAGAUCACACAAAAUCAACUUAAUACCCUAAAAGCCAAGUCAUGGGAACAUGGUAACAAAACCAAUUACAACACCUACAUCAUUCUAGCUGCAUACAUAUGGCGCUGUGCAACUAAAGCUCGGGGCCUCUCAUAUGACCAACCAACCAAGUUAAACAUGCCAAUUAAUGGACGUCCCAGACUACAUCCUCCAGUCCCAUCAACGUACGUGGGCAAUGAAAUGUUUGCGGCUUCAUUAAUUACUCUAUCUGGAAAUCUCCAAUCAGAACCGUUUGUAAAUACCCUAGAACGAGUUCAUGGAACAUUGAAAGGGAUGAAUAAUGAGUAUCUAAGAUCAGCUCUUGACUACCUAGAAACACUGCCAGAUAUAACAGUUGCCAGGAGAAAACCAGACACUUACUAGUGCCCAAACCUAAGUAUCAUCAAAUGGACACGACUGUCUAUAUAUGAUGCAGAUUUUGGAUGGGGUCGACCAAUAUACACGGGUCCAACAAACGUUGUCCAUGAAGGAAAAAUAUACAUACUACCAAGUCCAACCGAUGAUGGGAGCUUGUCACUGGUAGCAUGACUGCAGACAUCUCAUAUGAAACUCUUCGAGAAACAUCUAUACGAAGGCUUGAAGUCAUUUGACAAGAUCAAAGCUCGAUAUUAGUUGUUUGUUCUGUCUAUCAAUAUAUGUAUAAACCUAUAAAUCUUCUACUUAUGUUUCUUUAACUAAAACUUUGUUUGAAUCCUGUUCAUUUGAAAUUUAACAUCUAAGCUGCCCUGGCUAACAGUUUUUUUUAUUGUUAAUUAUUAUACUAUACUUCGAUAAUAGUAGUAGCAUUGAUUGAUCGCAAAGAAAUGAUAAAGAAAAAUAAGAAUAUAUAGAUGGAAAAGUCUUAUUAGGAAAAAAAAAUCAUGGGCAGAGGAGAAGUUAACUAAUGUUGAAAAACAAUAAUGCAAGAGGUCUUUUUUACUACACACAUUUUAACGGUUAAAUAACAUUUUUAUAAUCAACGUCUAAUAGAAGAUCGCCCCCACAUAUCCCCCAAAUUUGCAAUUCUAUUUUAUUUCUUUAACAAAUAAGUUGCACAUCGAAUUUUUUUGCCUGGAUCAAAAGGGAUUCAGAUCAAACAACUCUGACAACACCUCAAAUUAUUUGUCCAUAACCAUAUUAAAACAAAUACCGAAUAAUUGAAAUAUAUUCAAAAUUUUAAAUUAAAUUAAGUUUGGAUCAAACUCACUGAUGAUAUAUGAUUUACCUAAAGUGAAAUAAGAACUCGAAAAUACAAAAUUUAUGGGUAAAUUUUUGUUUUGGUCACUUAAUUAAAAAAUUAUAAUUUGGUUAUUGAACUAUUCAAAAGUUUUCUUUUAAGUCGUUGAAUUGUUAAAAUUGAUGUUAUAUGACUUUAUCUGUUUGCAGUGCAUGCAUCAAUUGAAAGUUCUCUUUUUCCUUCACUUCCAGAGUUCAUUUUCUAUUUUUAUAUAACAACUUUAGACGUUACAAAUCUGCAAACCAAAAUUCAAAUAUUUUUUGCUUUGAUUUCCAACAUUGACUAUCAAAUCAAUUUAGAUCUAAGGUAUGUUUUUCUACGCAUUAAUGGGUACCGAUCCAUCGUAUCGGUCGUUGAAUCCUUACUUGGAGCUCGUUAGUGGAACUUAAAAAACAACUUAAUAGCCUAGUGACUUAAAUGAAAAUUUUACCAAACCAAAAAAAGGGGAGAAUGUGAUAUCACUGCGAAUUUUAUUUAUUUUUUUAUUUAGCCCUAAUAAAGUGACGCGUUUCAAAGGAUGAAGAUAUUUUCCCAUUCGAGCUCUAUGAGUUAUUCGCGCCUUUUAAUUGGGCCAUUCAUUUUUUUUCUUUAAUUCUGUUGAUUCUCAAUUUAAUCCCUAAUCUUUUAUUUUAGGUUUUUAGUCUAUUUUAUUAAUUUUGUUAUUAUUAUUAUUAUUAUUAUAUUAUAUAUAUUAUUAUUAUUAUACCUACAUAUAUGUGCGCAUAUGCAUGUUAAUAUAUAUACAUAUAUAUUUUAAACGUUUUAAUAUAUAUACAUAUUAUAUACAUACUUUAUUAUUAUUUUAUUUUCAUAGUUUUUUAUACAUAUAUAUACACAUUUAUAUUUCAUAAUAUUUAUACCUUCGCCCAUAUUCUAUGAUUUUUAUAUGUUUAUACAUUUUUGUAAUAUGUACACAUAUAUUUAUACUCCAUUCAAAGCUUAUUAUAAAUAAUUUCUACGUUUUUAUAUUAUACUUAUAUAUUUCAUUUUUUCUGUAAAUGCAUGUAUAUAUUUUGUACCUUUUCAUUAUAUUUUUUGUUUAUUUCCUUCAUUUGCUUAUUGAUCCAUGUUUUCUUUUUGUAUUUGGUACGUUUGAUAUUUUACAUGAUUGUUUUUAUGUACAUUAAUUUCAUCUAUUUCUAUGCCAUAGUUGUAUUUAUUAUUGCAUUGUAUAUUUAAUGUAGCAUCACAUCAUUUUUUUACUCGAUUUCAAACUUUUCAAAAUUGAGAUAAUGCUUGUAUUUAGGAUUUUCAAGGAAAUUGAGCCCUAACGUAUUGGGUUCCGAUUUUCUUCGUUAAAUCUAACAAUCGAGCAUUUCUCUUUAAUCAAAAAAUAAGAACUCAUUAUUGGGAAUUCAACACGUUGUGUCCUAACGUAUUGGAUGUGACGCAUUGAUUUCUCGAAAUGAAGAUUUUUUCUAAAAAAUAAUAAAGGAAAUAUUCCGAGUUUGGGAUUUUGGAGGAAUUGUGCCCUAACGUAUUGGGCUGCGAUUUCUUAAAUCUUGAAUAAAUGGAUAUUCUUUUAAAUUUUUAUUACAUGAGUAUUCUGACCUAAUUCAUUUUUGAAGAAAUUAGAAUGUCGUGCCCUAACGCAUUGGGUAUGGCAUUUUCUUUCUCUGAAAUGAUGAGGGUCUUAAUACGUAACGUUUUUAAGUUUUUGCUAAGGAUUAUAUUUUUUCAAAUUUUCGACAUUAAGACAUUAAUUAAUUAACUAGGAACCAAUUUUUGAGCGUUAUGAGGGUGCUAAUCCUUCCUCAUACGUAACCGACUCCCGGACCCAUUUUUCUAAAAUUCGUAGACCAAAGUCGUUUUUAGGUGACCCAAUCACACCUUAAUAAAAGAUUGGUGGCGACUCUCAAUUUUCAUUUUUUAAAGUCGACAACCUAAAAUUUUUUGUUUUCAAAAAAUGGUUUCGACAAUUAAGUUUGGGUCAAACUCGCUGAUGAUAUAUGAUUUACCUAAAGUGAAAUAAGAGCUCGAAAAUACAAAAUUUAUAAGUAAAUUUUCGUUUUGGUCACUUAAUUAAGAAAUUAUUAUUAUAUUUUUAAAAAGGUUAAUUGCUUCACGUUUUAUAUAACACCACUAAAAAAUUAUUAUUAUAUUUUUAAAAUGCAAUUAUUGGCCUAUGAUGGUGUGGCGUCAACGACAAUCACUGUAGAAGUUGAAUUAUUUUCGUAAUUAUUCACAAAACUUGGGUUACUUUUAUUAAAAAAAACCCUAGAAGAGAACCUCGCCUUUGCUUAAGAUAGCCGGACACUUUCUGACUUUCCCUUCUGUCAGUUUUUCAUCAACAGGUUUGCCUCUGACCAGAACAUCAAUGGAUGUUAGUGUAAAGAGAUGGAGCAUGAUACGCCCUGCUCAAGAUACUCCUAAAGAAAGGCAAUGGAUUUCAAAUCUGGACGUGGUGAUGACAACAUACCAUCUCCCUUUGCUGUUUUUCUACAAACCAAAUGGCUCCUCUGAUUUCUUUAAGCCUCAAGUGCUACAGGAGGCUUUAAGCAAGACUCUUGUGCAAUUCUAUCCUAUGGCUGGGAGGUUGGGGCGUGAUGAAAAUGGUAGGCUCGAGAUAUUAUGCAACGCAGAGGGUGUUCUGUGGAUAGAAGCUGAAACUACAUAGGCCAUGGAUGAUCUCGACGGCUUUACUCCCUGCUCAAAACUGAGGAAACUGGUUCCCACGGCUGAUUACUCUGGAGAUAUCAGUUCUUAUCCGCUUAUUAUGGCUCAGGUAAGUGAUUGAAGAACUGUUAUCUUAUUAUAGAUGAUAGCUGUUACUUGCAGUAGGAGACCAAGGAUAAGCUCCGAGAAAACUCAAACAGCCUGAUACUGAAGUUAAAGCACAAGAAAAACUAAGCUAUCAGCUAAGAAGUUAAUAUAUGGCUUUUUUUUUCAAAAUUGACAUUAAUUAUGAAAAUGAACCAGGUAUAAAAUCUUACACUAGAGGUGCCGCUAGACUCAUUGGCGACACCGGUAAUUUUGUAAAAAGUAUUACCAUCGACAAAGUAUAGAUACUUUACGUUCAUCUUCACAAGAAAGUGCUAUAAGGUCCAUGGUGGUGGCUUAGUGUUGAAGAAGAUGAAACCGGAACCUUUUGCUGUUUAGUGAACCUCUCAUAUUUAAUAAACAUUUUAGCUCGUCAGAUACAACGAUAUUUUAAAUGAAAACAACUGUAAUAAUCCUCACUGAAGAAAAGCUAAGAACAAGAUUAAUCAAAGCUAAGAAUAAGAUUACAAGAUUAUUACAAAUGAGUCGAACGAGAGGUUCAUUGAAGAGAAAAAGGUUUUGGUUUCAUCUUCUUCACUGCUAAGCCAACACCACGGAACUCUUAGCACUUUCUUGUGAAGCCGAACCGAAAGUAUUAAUACUUUAUUGAUGUUAUUACAAUCAAUAAAGUAAUGAUACUUUUUACAAAACUAACACCGGUGCUACCAAUGAGUCUGGUGGCAUCUAAUUUUUUUAGAACAUGGGAAUAAGAAUGGUGACACUAAAUUUUACCGUAAAAAACGGAUCAUUCUUGUGAAAGAUUUUGCAUAACCAUAUUAAAACAACUCUUACUGGAUCAAAAGGGAUUCAGAUCAAAUAACUCUGACAACAUCUCAAAUUAUUUGUCCAUAACCAUAUUAAAACAAUUACAGAAUAAUUGAAAUAUAUUCAAAAUUUUAAAUUAAAUUAAGUUUGGAUCAAACUCACUGAUGAUAUAUGAUUUACCUAAAGUGAAACAAGAAAUCAAAAAUACAAAAUUUAUGGGUAAAUUUUUGUUUUGGUCACUUAAUUAAAAAAUUAUAAUUUGGUUAUUGAACUAUUCAAAAGUUUUCUUUUAAGUCAUUGGAUUGUUAAAAUUGAUGUUAUAUGACUUUCUCUGUUCACAGUGCAUGCAUCAAUUGAAAGCUCUCUUUUUCCUUCACUUUCACAGUUCAUUUUCUAUUUUUAUAUAACAACUUUAGACGUCACAAAUCUGCAAACCAAAAUUCAAAUAUUUUUUGCUCUGAUUUCCAACAUUGACUAUCAAAUCAAUUUAGAUCUAAGGUAUGUUUUUCUACGCAUUAAUGUAUACCGAUCCAUUGUAUCGAUCGUUGAAUCCUUACUUGGAGCUCGUUAGUGGAACUUAAAAAACAACUUAAUAGCCUAGUGACUUAAAUGAAAAUUUUACCAAACCAAAAAAUUUCCCAUAAUUUAAUGACUAAUGGUGUAGUUUACGCACUUCCUCUUGGCCCAAUUGAAGUUUUUGGUACUCCCAAUUCCCAAACACCAGUAAAAAAGUUUUAAUAGUAGAAAUAUAUGAAAUUUUUAAUAGAAAGUACCAUUUUACUUUUUGAUCUAUAUAGAAAGACUAAUUUGUCAAUUUUUUAAAUUAAUGGGGCAAAAUACAAUUUGACUUUUAAUAUAAAAAUUUCCAUGGUACUUUUACCUUGAAACUAUCAAUAAAAACUAAUAAGUAUAAAAUGAAACAAUUAAGAAUAUAUCAGAUAUCCACGAGGUGAUAAGUGCUUUUAAAAAUAGUAGUACUUAAUGAAUUUAAUGGUUAUUGUUUAAAUCAAGAUUGGAAUUUCAAAAUUAGAAAAACAUAUGAACUAAAAUGAUCAAAUUAAUUAAAGUACAUAAACCAAAUUUUCAACUUGCAAAUUGCACAAGUAUUAAUAGCAGGAUUUAACCUAUUUUUACAUUUAAAUAUGUAAAAAUAUCACCCUUUCACACCCUCCCAACGGAGAAGAUUAGCUUUUUUUUUAAGUAAUUCAACUUUUUUAUUAAUUAUGAUAAUGACCAACUUAAAAAUUAUGUACGUAAAUGAUCUGAUUUCUAUAGUGUAUGUCGGUGCUGUCACAUACGCUGGUGGCACCGACCCCAUCAUCGGCCAAUGAUUGUAUUUUUUAAAACAUUUUCAAUUCAUUCCCUAGCAUAUUUAAAUUUAGAUAAACUUGAGAAAAUUUUUUGAAGGAUAUAUUUGGGUAAUUUAAAUAAGAAUUUUAUAUAAUCUUUUAAGUUUAUUGUUUUUAAAAAAAUAAAAAAAAUUAAAAGAGUUUAUUUUUCUUAUUCUUAUAAUUUUAAGGGCUAUUUAAAUUUAAUUCUAAAAGGAGAUAGACUUAACAUGCAAAUAAUUCAAAAAUUGAAAAUAUAAAAUUUGGUGCCUACCUGCUACACCCUUUUUAUUGGCCUAUGAUGUGUGACGUCACGAUCAAACACUGUAGAAGUUGAAUUAUUUUCGUAAUUAUUCACAAAAUUUGGCUUACUUUUGUAAAAAAACCCGAGAAGAGAACCUCGCCUUUGCUUAAGAUAGACGGACACGUUCUGACUUUCCCCUCUGUCAGUUUUUCAUCAACAGGUUUGCCUCUUACCAGAACAUCAAUGGAUGUUAGUGUAAAGAGAUGGAGCAUGAUACGCCCUGCUCAAGAUACUCCUAAAGAAAGGCAAUGGAUUUCAAAUCUGGACGUGGUGAUGACAACAUACCAUCUCCCUUUGCUGUUCUUCUACAAACCAAAUGGCUCCUCUGACUUCUUCAAGCCUCAAGUCCUACAGGAGGCUUUAAGCAAGACUCUUGUGCAAUUCUAUCCUAUGGCUGGGAGGUUGGGACGAGAUGAAAAUGGUAGGCUCGAGAUAGUAUGCAACGCAGAGGGUGUUCUGUGGAUAGAAGCUGAAACUACAUCGGCCAUGGAUGAUCUCGACGGUUUUACUCCCUGCUCAAAACUGAGGAAACUGGUUCCCACGGCUGAUUACUCUGGAGAUAUCAGUUCUUAUCCGCUUAUUAUGGCUCAGGUAAGUGAAUGAAGAACUAUUAUCUUAUUAUAGAUGAUAACUGUUACUUGCAGUAGGAGACCAAGGAUAAGUUCUGAGAAAACUCAAACAGCCUGAUGCUGAAGUUAAAGCACAAGAAAAUCUAUCAGCUAAGAAGUUGAUAUAUAUACGAGAAUGACCCGUUUUCUACCGUAAAAGUCAGUGCCGCUAGACUAAUUAGCGACACCGAUAUUUUUGCAAAAGUAUUACCAUCAACAAAGUAUCGAUACGAGAAAGUGCUAAUUACGGAGGUCCAUGGUGUGGUGGCAUAGUAGUGAAGAAGAUGAAACCAAAAACCUUUUCUCUUCAAUAAUGAACCUCUGGUUUAACUCAUUUGUAAUAAUCAUUUUCGCUCGUCGGAUACGACCGCAUUUUAAAUGGAAAACUGUAAUAAUUCUCACCGAAGAAAAGCAAAGAACAAGAUUAAUCAAAGCCAAUAAUAUUAUUACAAAUGAGUUAGGCGAGAGGUUCAUUGAAGAGAAAAGGGUUUCGAUUUCAUCUUCUUCACUGCUAAGCCACCGCCAUGCAACUCUUUGACCUUUCUCAUGAAGCUAAACGAUACCAUCAACAUCGGUGCCAACAUUGAGUCCGGCCACAUUCAAAAAAUAUAUAUUUUUAAAAAACAUGGGGUGGUGCUUCAAUGGGAAUGGUGGCACCAAAUUUUAUGAUAGAAAAUGGGCCAUUCUCCUACAAGAUUUUACACUUGAGUUAUUUUUAUAAUUAAUCAAUUUUUCUUGUCAAUUUUGAAAAAAAAAACCUUAAAUAUUUUUGUUUCAAAAAGGUCAACUGUUGAGUGUAUAUUUUGCUAGGUAACUACUCUUAAAUGCGGUGGAGUUUGUCUUGGAAUAGCAACUCAUCAUACUUUGACUGAUGGCACAACGGCCUUACAUUUCAUUAAUAGUUGGUCUGAAAUGGCAAGAGGCUUGCCCGAGAUUAGCAUGCCACCACUUAUUGACCGAACCCUUCUCCGAGCAAGAGUGCCACCAAUCCCUAGAUUUCAUCAUCUCGAAUAUGACCGACCUCCUUCCUUAUACACCUCUACAUCACUUGGCCCUAAUAACCAUAAACCCUUAACUGUAUCUGUUUUCAAGAUCACACAAAAUCAACUUAAUACCCUAAAAGCCAAGUCAUGGGAACAUGGAAACAAAACCAAUUGCAGCACCUUCACCAUUCUAGCUGCAUACAUAUGGCGCUGUGCAACUAAAGCUUGGGGCCUCUCAUAUGAUCAACCAACCAAGUUACACAUGCCAACUAAUGGACGCCCCAGACUACAUCCUCCCCUCCCAUCAACGUACUUGGGCAACGCAAUGUUUGCAGCUUCAUUAAUUGCUCUAUCUGGAAAUCUCCAAUCAAAACCAUUUGUAAAUACCCUAGAACGAGUUCAUGGAACAUUGCAAAGGAUGAAUAAUGAGUAUCUAAGAUCAGCUCUUGACUACCUAGAAACACUGCCAGAUAUAACAGUUGCCAGGAGAACACCGGACACUUACCAUUGCCCAAACCUAAGUAUCAACAAAUGGACACGACUGUCUUUAUAUGAUGCAGAUUUUGGAUGGGGUCGACCAAUAUACAUGGGUCCAGCAAACGUUGUCCAUGAAGGAAAAAUAUAUAUACUACCAAGUCCAACCGAUGAUGGGAGCUUGUCAUUGGUAGCAUGCCUACAGACUGCUCAUAUGAAACUCUUCGAGAAACAUCUAUACGAAGGCUUGAAGUCAUUUGACAAGAUCAAAGCUCAAUAUUAGUUGUUUGUUCUCUCUAUCAAUAUAUGUAUAAACCUAUAAAUCUUCUACUUAUGUUUCUUUAACUAAGACUUUUUGUUUGGAUCCUGUUUAUUUGAAAUUUACCAUCUAAGCUGGCCUGGCAAACAGGUCUUUUAUUGGUAAUUAUUGUACUAUACCUCGAUAAUAGUAAUAGCAUUGAUCGCAAAGAAAUAAUAAAGUAAAAUAAGAAUACACAGAUUUUACGUGGAAAAGUCUUAUUAGAAAAAAAAUCACGGGCAAAGUAAAAAUUUACUAAUGUUGAAAAGCAACAAUACAAGAAGUUUUUUUUACUACACACGUUUUAACGGUUAAAUAACAUUUUUAUAAUCAAUGUCUAAUAGAAGAUCGCUCCCACAUAUCCCCCAAAUUUGCAAUUCUAUUUUAUUUCUUUAACAAACAAGUUGCACCUCGAAUUUUUCUUGACUGGAUCAAACGGGGUUCAAAUCAAACAGCUCUGACAACACCUCAAAUUAUUUGUCCAUAACCAAUUAAAACAAAUACCGAAUAAUUGAAAUAUAUUCAAAAUUUUAAAUUAAAUUAAGUUUGGAUCAAACUCACUGAUGAUAUAUGAUUUACCUAAAGUGAAAUAAGAACUCGAAAAUACAAAAUUUAUGGGUAAAUUUUCUUUUUGGUCACUUAAUUAAAAAAUUAUAAUUUGGUUAUUAAACUAUUCAAAAGUUUUAUUUUAAGUCAUUGGAUUGUUAAAAUUUAUAUUAUACAACUUUCUCUAUUCGCAGUGCAUGCAUCAAUUGAAAGCUCUCUUUUUCCUUCAUUUUUACAGUUCAUUUUCUAUUUUUAUGUAACAACUUUGGACGUCAUAAAUCUGUAGACCAAAAUUUAAACAUUUUUUGCUCUGAUUUCCAACAUCGACCAUCAAAUCAAUUUAGAUCUAAAGUAUAUUUUUCUACUCAUUAAUGGAAUAAUGGGUAUCGAUCCAUCGUAUCGAUUGUUGAACCCUUACUUGGAGCUCGUUAGUGGAACUUAAAAAACAACUUAAUAGCCUAGUGACUUAAAUGAAAAUUUUCAAAUUUAGUGACCAAACCAAAAACUUUCCCAUAAUUUAAUGACUAAUGGUGUAGUUUACGCACUUCCUCUUGGCCCAAUUGAAGUUUUUGGUACUCCCAAACACUAGUAAAAAAGUUUUAAUAGUAGAAUGUAUGAAAUUUUUAAUAGAAAGUAACAUUUUACUUUUUGAUCUAUAUACAGAGACUAAUGUGCCAAUUUUUUAAAAUAAAUAUGACAAAAUGCAAUUUGACUUUUAAUAUAAAAAUCUCCAUGGUGCGUUUACCUUGAAAUUAUCAAUAAAAACUAAUAAAUAUAAAAUGAAACAGUUAAGAAUAUAUCAAAUAUUCACGAGGUGAUAGGCGCUUUUAAAAUUUAACAUUUACAACUUAAUGGGCUAGUGACAAGGCCAAGCAAACCAUUAGUGGAUUGGUAACAAAUUUGGUAAUAUUUUAACGAUCCAAUUGUUAAAUAUAUCGAUAUAACUGUAUUUGGUAUGAAUGUAAAAUUUCGAACCGAUCCGAUAUUUCUGACAUAUUGAUCUAAAAUAUUGCAUAUAUUAAACUAUUAAAUUUUUUUAUAUAAAAUAAAUAGUUAGUUUUUUUUUUAAUUUACAUCAAAUUUGACAUGCACAAUCUAUUUGAAUAGAAUAUGAAAUAUGAUAAUUGAAUCAUUAAAAUAUUAAUUGUAUAAAAAAUAAAAUACAUAUUUUAAAUUUAAUAUAAAAAUGUUUAAAAAACACUAAAAUAAAUUAAUAAAAUUCUCAAUGACUUUUGGGUUUAAAUCAAAAUUAUCGAAACUGGAUUAGAUCAAAUCGAAAAUUAAUUAAGGUAUGAGUUUGGAAUAAGAGGAUUAAUUAUCUCACAAAUUGGUUAAAUCGACAAAUCAGAUCAAUUUUUUUUCAAUUUUUAAUUUUUUAAUAAUUUAUUUAAUUAAAUUAAUAAAAUCAAUCAAAUCAGAAUUAGAAUCUAAUUCUAAACACUUUGUUUUGUUAUGUCAAAGCCACAUGUUUUUUUACACCUUAUUUAUUCUGCAAAUUACUGUCCGCACGUGUCAACUCUUUAUCAUCUUUUAAUGACGUGUACGGUAUAGAUAGCCUGUCUUCAAUUUUUUUAUUUGCCAAAUUCUGUUAUUAGUCCCUGUAUUAUAAGUAGUUUGCGAAUUUAAUCUCUAUAUUAAAAAAAUAGUCAAUUUUAGUUCUUAUACUUUUUAGCAUCUAAAAUUUUAAUCAUCCACAAGGAGUAGUAAUUAAAUAUGUUUGUUAAUUUAGGUCCUUAAUCUUUUACACAGUAUAAAGUUAUUCUACGUUCUCUAAUUUGAUCAUUCAUAAUCCUUAUAUUUUUUGAAUUUUUAAAUUUUAAUAAGCUGACAUAAUAUUACAUAUAUGAUAAUAUUUUUGACACAUAAGAUUUUGAACAUAAUAAAACAUAAUGAAUUUAAUGGUUAUCGUUUAGAUCAGGAUUGAAAUUUUAAAAUUAGAAAAAUAUAUGGACUAAAAUGAUUAAAUUAAAGUACAUACACUAAAUUUACAACUUUCCCAUUGCACAAGUACUAAUAGCAGGAUUUACCCUAUUUUUACAUUUAAAUAUGUAAAAAUAUCACCCAUCCACUGCCUCCCAACAGAGAAGAUAGGCUUUUUUUUUUUUGCAAUAAAAGAAUUAAUAAUUACUUGAUAAAUUAUUUUAUGGACAUUUUUUGUCAUAUCAUCCAUGAUCCCGUCCAAUUAGAAGAGAACGCGUCAUCUUUUUUUCCACAUCAUAUAUACAUUUAGACUAAACUUCCAAAUAAAAGAUGACGUGUCGUGUUUUAAUUGGGAGGAACUAUGGAUGAUGGGGUGAAAAAUGUCCAUAAAAUAAUUUCUCAUUAUUACCUUAUCUUCGAACACAAAAACACAAGCAUUAGCAAACAGAUUUCGCCCAUCUGCUACCUCCCAAUCGAGAAGAUAGGUUUUUUUUCUGAGUAACUCAAUUUUUUUGAUUAAUUAUGAACAUAAUUAACUUAAAAAUUAUGUCCGUAAAUGAUUUGAUUUUUACAGUGCUUGUCGAUGUUGCCAGACACACCGACGGCACCAGGCCCAUCAUCGACCAAUAAUUAUAUUAUUUUAAACAUUUUCAAUUCAUUCCUUAGCAUAUUUAAAUUUAUAUAAAUUGAGAUAAUUUUUUGAAGGAUAUAUUUGGGUAAUUUAAAUAAGACUUUUAACUUUAUUGUUUCUAAAAAAAUAAAAAAUUAUUUUUAUUAUUCUUAUAUUUUUAAGGACUAUUUAAAUAUAAUUUUAAAAAUAGAUAUACUUAACACGCAAAUAAAUAAAAAAUUAAAAAGCAUCAAAUUUGGUGCCGACAUGGUGCACCCUUUUUCUGCAAACUAAAAAGUUAUUAUUUUCUAGGUAAGGAAUAGUCUGUUUUAUUUACCUCAUAUUAUAUUUUAGUUAUUUAUAUUUAAAAUGUUAUUUUUAAGUGGUCACUCCACUGUUAAAUUUCGUUACCUCUCUAACGGUAAUUUUAUGUGACAGUUAGACCUGUCCAUGGGCCGGGCGGCUCAGCCUGGCCCGAAGGCCUGCCCGAAAUAUGGGAGGGUUCGGGUAAAAAUAUAGGCCCGAAAUAUGGGCUUGGGCAAAAAAAUGAGGCCCGUUUAAAAAAUGGGCCGGGCUUGGGCUCAACUUUUUUGGCCCGGGCCCGGCCCGGCCCGAAUAUAAUAAAUAUAUUUUUUAUUUUUAUUUUUUAAUUUUAAAAUACGUUAAAAAUAUUUUUUUUAUUUUUAUUUUUUUAUUUUUAAAAUAUUUUUUUGUGUUUAUUAAAAAUCGGGCCGGGCCCGGGCUUAUUAUUUUUUUCUCGGGCCGGGCCUGAGAAAAAUUUUAGGCCCAUAUUUCGGGCAGGGCCUAAGAGUCGGGCCGAAUUUUUUCCCGGGCCCAGCCCGGCCCAUGGACAGGUCUAGUGACAGUACAAAUGGGUUUUAAAUGCCAACUACGAUGCCCAAUUAUUAUGACAAAAAUAGGUUUUUAAUUAAAUAAAUUUAAUUUAGACUGCCACGUAGGACCGUCAUUAGGGAGGUAAGAGAGCUUAAUGAUAGAGUGAUCAAUUCGUAACAGAACGAUAACAUUAGUGACUAAAACGUAACAUUUCAAACUUAAGCGACUGUUUUAUAGUUUACCCUUAAUGUAAUUAUUGGCGGAUGAUCUGGCCGCACCGACAAACAGCAGAAAUUGAGUCAUUUUCGUAAUUAUUUACAAAAUUUGGGUUACUUUUCUAAAAAAACCAGAGAAGAGAACCUCGCCUCUGCUUAAGAUAGCCGGACACUUUCUAACUUUCCCUUCUUUCAGUUUUUCAUCAACAGGUUUGCCUCUUACCAGAACAUCAAUGGAUGUUAGUGUAAAGAGAUGGAGCAUGAUACGCCCUGCUCAAGAUACUCCUAAAGAAAGGCAAUGGAUUUCAAAUCUGGACAUGGUGAUAACAACAUACCAUGUCCCUUUGCUGUUUUUCUACAAACCAAAUGGCUCCUCUGAUUUCUUUAAGCCUCAAGUGCUACAGGAGGCUUUAAGCAAGACUCUUGUGCAAUUCUAUCCUAUGGCUGGGAGGUUGGGACGUGAUGAAAAUGGUAGGCUCGAGAUAGUAUGCAACGCAGAGGGUGUUCUGUGGAUAGAAGCUGAAACUACAUCGGCCAUGGAUGAUCUCGACGGUUUUACUCCCUGCUCAAAACUGAGGAAACUGGUUCCCACGGCUGAUUACUCUGGAGAUAUCAGUUCUUAUCCGCUUAUUAUGGCUCAGGUAAGUGAAUGAAGAACUAUUAGCUUAUUAUAGAUGAUAACUGUUACUUGCAGUAGGAGACCAAGGAUAAGCUCUGAGAAAACUCAAACAGUCUGAUACUGAAGUUAUAGCACAAGAAAAACUAAGCUAUCAGCUAAGAAGUUGAUAUAUGGCUUUUUUUUUUCUAAACUGACUUAAAAGAAUCGAUUAAUUAUGAAAAUUACCCAGGUAUAAUAUCUUAUAUGAGAAUGACCCGUUUUCUACCGUAAAAAUUGGUACCGCUAGACUAUUUAGCGGUACCGAUAUUUUUGUAAAAGUAUUACCAUCAACAAAUUAUCGAUAUAUACUUUCCAUUCAUCUUCACAAGAAAGUGCUAAUUACGGAGGUCCAUGGUGGUGGCUUAGUAGUGAUGAAGAUGAAACCAAAACCCUUUUCUCUUCAAUGAACCUCUGGUUUGACUCAUUUGUAAUAAUUAUUUUCGCUCGUUGGAUACAACCGCAUUUUAAAUGGAAAACUGUAAUAAUCCUCACAGAAGAAAAGCAAAGAACAAGAUUAAUCAAAGCGAACAAUAUUGUUACAAAUGAGUUAGGCGAGAGGUUCAUUGAAGAGAAAAGGGUUUCGAUUUCAUCUUCUUCACUGCUAAGCCACUGCCAUGGAACUCUUAGACCUUUCUCAUGAAGCUAAACGAUACCAUCAACAAAGUGUAUCCUUUUUACAAAACUAACAUCGGUGCCAACAAUGAGUCCGGCAACAUUCAAAAAAUAUAUAUUUUUAAAAAACAUGGGGUGGUGCUUCAAUGGAAAUGGUGGCACCAAAUUUUAUGAUAGAAAAUGGGUUAUUCUCGUACAAAAUUUUACACUUGAGUCAUUUUUAUAAUUAAUAAAAUUUUUUGGUCAAUUUUGAAAAAAAAAACCUUAAUGUUUUUGUUUCGAAAAGGUCAAUUGUUGAGUGUAUAUUUUGCUAGGUAACUACUCUUAAAUGCGGUGGAGUUUGUCUUGGAAUAGCAACUCAUCAUACUUUGACUGAUGGCACAAUGACCUUACAUUUCAUUAAUAGUUGGUCUGAAAUGGCAAGAGGCUUGCCCCAAAUUAGCAUGCCACCAGUUAUUGACCGAACCCUUCUUCGAGCAAGAGUGCCACCAAUCCCUAGAUUUCAUCAUCUCGAAUAUGACCGACCUCCUUCCUUAUACACCUCUACGUCACUUGGCCCUAAUAACCAUAAACCCUCAACUGUAUAUGUUUUCAAGAUCACACAAAAUCAACUUAAUACCCUAAAAGCCAAGUCAUGGGAACAUGGAAACAAAACCAAUUACAGCACCUACACCAUUCUAGUUGCAUACAUAUGGCGCUGUGCAACUAAAGCUUGGGACCUCUCAUAUGAUCAGCCAACCAAGUUACACAUGCCAACUGAUGGACGCCCCAGACUACAUCCUCCCCUCCCAUCAACGUACUUGGGUAACGCAAUGUUUGCGGCUUCAUUAAUUGCUCUAUCUGGAAAUCUGCAAUCAGAACCGUUUGUAAAUACCCUAGAACGAGUUCAUGGAACAUUGCAAAGGAUGAAUAAUGAGUAUCUAAGAUCAGCUCUUGACUACCUAGAAACACUGCCAGAUAUAACAGUUGCCAGGAGAACACCGGACACUUACCAUUGCCCAAACCUAAGUAUCAACAAAUGGACACGACUGUCUUUAUAUGAUGCAGAUUUUGGAUGGGGUCGACCAAUAUACAUGGGUCCAGCAAACGUUGUCCAUGAAGGAAAAAUAUACAUACUACCAAGUCCAACCAAUGAUGGGAGCUUGUCACUGGUAGCAUGCCUACAGACUGCUCAUAUGAAACUCUUUGAGAAACAUCUAUACGAAGGCUUGAAGUCAUUUGACAAGAUCAAAGCUCGAUAUUAGUUGUUUGUUCUCUCUAACAAUAUAUGUAUAAACCUAUAAAUCUUCUACUUCUGUUUCUUUAACUAAGACUUUUUGUUUGGAUCCUGUUUAUUUGAAAUUUACCAUCUAAGCUGGCUUGGCGAACAGGUCUUUUAUUGGUAAUUAUUGUACUAUACCUCGAUAAUAGUAGUAUCAUUGAUCGCAAAGAAAUAAUAAAGAAAAAUAAGAAUAUACAGAUUUUACGUGGAAAAGUCUUACUAGGAAAAAAAAUCACGAGCAGAGUAAAAAUUCACUAAUGUUGAAAAAUACUAAUACAAGAAGUUUUUUUGACUACACACAUUUUAACGGUUAAAUAACAUUUUUAUAAUCAACGUUUAAUAGAAGAUCGCCCCCACAUAUCCCCCAAAUUUGCAAUUCUAUUUUAUUUCUUUAACAAACAAGUUGCACCUCGAAUUUUUCUGAUUGGAUCAAACGGGGUUCAGAUCAAACAGCUCUAACAACAACUCAAAUUAUUUGUCCAUAACCAUAUUAAAACAAAUACCGAAUAAUUGAAAUAUAUUCAAAAUUUUAAAUUAAAUUAAGUUUGGAUCAAACUCACUGAUGAUAUAUGAUUUACCUAAAGUGAAAUAAGAACUCGAAAAUACAAAUUUUAUGGGUAAAUUUUCAUUUUGGUCACUUAAUUAAAAAAUUAUAAUUUGGUUAUUAAACUAUUCAAAAGUUUUAUUUUAAGUCAUUGGAUUGUUAAAAUUGAUAUUAUAUGACUUUCUCUGUUCACAGUGCAUGCAUCAAUUGAAAGCUCUCUUUUUCCUUCAUUUCUACAGCUCAUUUUCUAUUUUUAUGUAACAACUUUGGACGUCACAAAUUUGCAGACCAAAAUUCAAACAUUUUUUGCUCUGAUUUCCAACAUGGACCAUCAAAUCAAUUUAGAUCUAAAUUAUAUUUUUAUACUCAUUAAUGGGUACUGAUCCACCAUAUCGAUUGUUGAAUCCUUACUUGGAGCUCGUUAAUGGAACUUAAAAAACAACUUAAUAUAUAGCCUAGUGACUUAAAUGAAAAUUUUUGAAUUUAGUGGCCAAACCAAAAACUUUCCUAUAAUUUAAUGAUUAAUGGUGUAGUUUACGCACUUCCUCUUGGCCCAAUUAAAGUUUUUGGUACUCCCACACACUAGUAAAAAAGUUUUAAUAGUAGAAAUGUAUGAAAUUUUUAAUAGAAAGUACCAUUUUACUUUUUGAUCUAUAUACAGAGACUAAUUUGCCAAUUUUUUAAAUAAAUGGGGUAAAAUGUAAUUUGACUUUUAAUAUAAAAAUCUCCAUGGUAUGUUUACCUUGAAAUUAUCAAUAAAAACUAAUAAAUAUAAAAUGAAACAGUUAAUAAUAUAUCAAAUAUCCACGAGGUGAUAGGUGAUUUUAAAAUUUAACAUUUACAACUUAAUGGGCUAGUGACAAGGCCAAGCAAACCAUUAGUGGAUUGGUAACAAAUUUGGUAAUAUUUCAACGAUCCAAUUGUUUAAUAUAUCGAUAUAACUGUAUUUGGUAUGCAUGUAAAUUUUUGAACCGAUCCGAUAUUUCUGACAUAUUGAUCCAAAAUAUUGUAUAUAUUGAACUAUUAAAAGUUUUUUAUAUAAAAUAAAUAGUUAGUUUUUUUUUUAAUUUACAUCAAAUUUGACAUGCAUAAUCUAUUUGAAUAGAAUAUGAAAUAUGACAAUUGAAUCAUUAAAAUAUGGGUAAACUACACCCAUGGUCACUUUUGUUUACCUUAGGUUACAUUUCAGUCACUUAUGUUUGAAAUGUUACAUUUUAGUCACUUACGUUAUCGUGUUGUAACAUUUUAGUCACUGAGCCGUUAAUUGCCGUUAAUGGUGUAAUGGUAAGCUGACGUGGCACGUUAAAUCAUCAUUUCAAACAAAAACUUUAGGUUAAAUUAUAAAAAAAAUUAAAUUACUAAAAACGAAAAAAAUAUGGGGAUCAAUUAUAUAAUUUAACCUAAAAUUUUGUUUGAAAUGAUGAUUUAACGUGCCACGUCAGCUUACCGUUACACCAUUAACGACGAUUAAUGGCUCAGUGACUAAAAUGUUACAACUUGAUAACGUAAAUGACUAAAACGUAACAUUUCAAACAUAAGUGACUUAAACGUAACCUAAAGUAAACAAAAGUGACCAUGAGUGUAGUUUACCCUUAAAAUAUUAAUCGUAUAAAAAAAUAAAAUACAUAUUUUAAAUUUAAUAUAAAAAUGUUUAAAAAACACUAAAAUAAAUUAAUAAAAUUCUCAAUGACUUUUGGGUUUAAAUCACAAUUAUCGAAACAGGACAAAUCGAAAAUUAAUUAAUGUAUAAAUUUGGAAUAAGAGGAUUAAUUAUCUCACAAAUUGGUUAAAUCAACCAAUCAGAUAAUUUUUUUCAUUUUUAAAUUUUUUAAUAAUUUAUUUAAUUAAAUUAAUCAAAUCAAUCAAAUCGGAAUUAGAAUCUAAUUCUAAACACUUUGCUUUGUUAUGUCAAAGCUAUAUGUUUUUUUUACACCUUAUUUAUUCUGCAAAUUAUUGUCCGCACAUGUCAACUCUUUAUCAGCUUUUAAUGACGUGUACGGUAUAGAUAGCCUAUCUUCAAUUUUUUUUAUUUGCCAAAUUCUUUUAUUAUUCCUUGUAUUAUAAUUAGUUUGUGAAUUUAAUCUCUAUAUUAAAAUAAAAUGUCAAUUUUAGUCCUUAUACUUUUUAGCAUUUAAAAUUUUAAUCCUCCACAAAGAGUAGUAAUUAAAUAUGUUUGUUAAUUUAUGUCGUUAAUCUUGUACACAGUAUAAAGUUAUUCCACGUUCUCUAAUUUGAUCAUUCAUAAUCCUUAUAUUUUUUGAAUUUUUAAAUUUUAACAAGCUGAUAUAAUAUUACAUAUAUGAUAAUAUUUUUGACGUAUAAGAUUUUGAAAAUAAUAAAACUACUUAAUGAAUUUAAUGAUUAUCGUUUAUAUCAAUAUUGAAAUUUUAAAAUUAGAAAAAUAUACGGACUAAAAUGAUUAAAUUAAAGUACAUAGACUAAAUUUACAACUUGCCCAUUGCAUAAGUACUAAUAGCAGGAUUUAACCUAUUUUUACAUUUAAAUAUGUAAAAAUAUCACCCAUCCACUGCCUUCCAACAGAGAAGAUAAGUUUUUUUUUUUUAGCAAUAAAAGAAAUAAUAAUUACCUGAUAAAUUAUUUUAUGGAAAUUUUUCACCAUAUCUUCCAUGAUCCCGUCCAAGUAGACGAUGACACAUCAUCGUUUUUUUCCACAUCAUAUGUACAUUUAAACUAAACUUCUAAAUCAAAGAUGACAUGUCUUGUUUUAAUUGGUAGAAACUGUGGAUGGUCGGGUGGAAAAUGCCCAUAAAAUAAUUUCUCAUUAUUACCUUGUCUUCGAACACAAACACACAAGCAUUAGCAAACAGAUUUCGCCCAUCCGCUACCUCCCAAUAGACAAGAUAGGUUAUUUUUAAUUAACUCAAUUUUUUUGAUUAAUUACGAAAAUAAUCAACUUAAAAAUUACGUACGUAAAUGAUUUGAUUUUUACAGUGCUUGUCGAUGCUGCCAGACACAUCGGCGGCACCGGUCUCAUCAUCGACCAAUAAUUGUAUUAUUUUAAACAUUUUCAGUUCAUUCCCUAGCAUAUUUAAAUUUAUAUAAAUUGAGAUAAUUUUUUGAAGGAUAUAUUUGGGUAAUUUAAAUAAGACUUUUAACUUUAUUGUUUCUAAAAAAAUAAAAAGAAUUUAUUUUUGUUAUUCUUAUAUUUUUAAGGGCUAUUUAAAUAUAAUUUUAAAAAUAGAUAUACUUAACACGCAAAUAAAUAAAAAAAUUGAAAAGCAUCAAAUUUGGUGCCGACAUGGUGCACUAAAAAGUUAUUAUUUUCUGGGUAAAUUAUAGCAAUAGUCACUUUUAUUUACCUCAUAUUAUAUUUUAGUUAUUUAUGUUUAAAAUAUUACAUUUUAGUCACUUACAUUAUCAUUUUGUUAUUAAGUGAUCACUCCACCGUUAAACUUCGUUACUUCUCUAACGGUAGUCCUAUGUGACAGUACAAAUUGAUUUUAAAUGCCAACUGGCAACUAUGAUGUCCAAUUGUUGGGACAAAAAUAGGUUUUUAAUUAAAUAAAUUUAAUUUGGACUGCCACGUAGGACCGUCAUUAGGAAGGUAAGAGAGCUUAAUGAUAAAGUGACCAAUUCGUAAUAAAACGAUAAUAUAAGUGACUAAAACGUAAUAUUUUAAACUUAGGUGAAUAAAAUAUAAUCUGAAGCAAAUAAAAGUGACUGGUUUAUAGUUUAUCCAUAAUGUAAUUAUUGGCGGAUGAUCUGGCCGCACCGACAAACAGUACAAAUUGAGUCAUUUUCGUAAUUAUUCACAAAAUUUGGGUUACUUUAAUAAAAACCCGAGAAGAGAACCUCGCCUUUGCUUAAGAUAGACGGGCACUUUCUGACCUUCCCUUCUGUUGGUUUUUCAUCAGCAAGUUUGCCUCUGAUGGGUUGUCGAAUCCACCAAUGUAAACCUACGCCUAACUUGCAAAUUAAGCAGUAUAGGGAGUAGGGUCGAUCCCUCAGAGACUGGGUUUACUGCAAAUUGUUCCUCUCUUGACCAGAUUUUUGUCAGGGCAGUUGUCGUGCCCAAGAAAUUCAGAGGGAUAAAAUCUGAAACCUGAAAUAAAUAAAUAAAAAGCGUAAAAAGUAAAAGUUGAAGACAGAAUAAUAAAAACAGUGAAAUAAAUAUGAAGAAAAAUUAAUUAGAAUAAGCUCAGCUUUAGGCACGAAUUUUCCUCGUCUUUGAACCGAUCCUCGAAAUUGGAUGAACUCCUCUUUUCCAAUAACUAGUUAUAGCUACCAAGGACGCCUCGGGCACCAACUCUUCCUUGUGUAAAUUAGUUAUGGAACAUCCAAUAACUAACCUUUACCAAUCGAACAACCACGAAACAUUCGUGAUUUAGAACUCCGACAGCUUUGCGUUCUAGAAGAGCCUAGCUCGAACCAAUGCCCUCAACCGCGUGGGACAUUUAAAUCCGGUUACUACUUCCCUUGACGGAACCAAAUAGCAAUCUCCACGGGCACGCCACUGUGUUCACAGAAAACCAAAUAGAAACGUUCCUUUCGGAAUUCCAACUGUACGUCUAAUCACACUAAAUCAAACGACGUCUUUUUUUGACUUAGUGCUGGUCUGACUUUAUGAGUUGACAAAAUCAUACUCUUAAUCCAGAGAAGUAAUAAGUACUAGAAUUUUAGGAGUUAAAUGGCUCGGGUUCGUAACUCACGGGUUUUGACGAUGCUAAUUUCGGCCUAAAGCUGAAAAUGGUUUUAGUUGGCUAAGGUUUGGGGCACGUUGGUAUUAGAAUAAUUAAAUAAGAUUGAAUAAAUGAAAAAAAAAAAUGAAAGUGAGUGGUGAAGGUUAUGCAAGGUUGGAAAUUAAUUGCUAACAAAAAACAGGAAAGAAAAGAUUGAAUUGCAAGAGAUAAAAGCUUAAUUUAAAAACGAAAUGAUUAAAAACUUGAUGGAAAAUUUUAUGAAAAGACUUGAUGAAAAACUUUAAAAAGAACUUGCUGCAAAACUUGAUAAAAAAACUUGGUAAUUAAAAACUUGAUAAAAGAACUAGAUGAAAAAUACUUGAAGAAUGAAAAACACUUAAUGAAAGACUCAAUUGAAAGCUUGAUUCAUGAAUUGAUGAAUUGAUAAACAAUGUAGCCUCUAUUUAUACUAGUAGCUUUACUAAAUUAGGAGCCAACUAGUAUAGAAAAUCAAGGAAAAUAUUCCAUAAUAUAAAAAAUAUCCCAAAAUAAUCUCCCACUAAGUCAACAAUUUCAGCUAAUUAUUCUUGGAAAAAUUCUACUUUGGCCCUCGUUCUUUGCUUCUUUCNNNNNNNNNNNNNNNNNNNNNNNNNNNNNNNNNNNNNNNNNNNNNNNNNNNNNNNNNNNNNNNNNNNNNNNNNNNNNNNNNNNNNNNNNNNNNNNNNNNNNNNNUUAACCAAUUUAAUUACAUAAAAUAUGUAACUUUAGCAUUUAAUCAAAUCCCCCUACUUAGCUUAUUCUAGUCCUCGAGCAUUUUGUAUGUAUCUGCAAAAGGAAAAAUUUUCUCCAAAAUAGGACUUGGCCCUCAUGGUUUGCACAAUUCAACAAUUUAAUCCUAGCACACUAACAUCUCAAAUAACCUAGCCUAAGAAGUAAGUAAAUAUAUUUCAGAAUUUAUUAGAGCUUGAUAGACUUACCUUUCAUUUUAUUAUUUUUUGUGCUUAGGACAUUUUCGAAUUUUUUGACGCGAGACAUGAUGACAACCCAAGCACCAUGUUCCGGUUACUCAAUUCGGAUGUCUCUAAGCGGGUUAUUUCGCCCUACUCAUGAUAACUUGUUAGCGGAGUGAGUGCAAAGAAAUUGGACAGCUACACGAACCUUUUUACGCGAGAUGUGAUGACAACCCAAGCACCAUAUUCCGGUUACUUAGUCCAGUGUACAACCUCAAUUUUCACUCUUAACAUUCGUAUCAGAGGAGUAUUAUUAUUCAUUUUUUCUUUUUUUUCUUUUCUUUUUUUUUUUGAAAGAUAAAAUAGGUAGUCAAGCAAACUCAUAAUUCCCAAAAAUUUCUUACCCACUAAGUCUAGGUUAUUGAAAAGUUGUAUGUGUAAAGAACUAGAUAGCUAAAUAGGUCAAACCAUAAGUGUACCAUCCCAAUUUAUCAAAAGAAAAAUUUUACCUUUCACGAAAAACAUGCAAAAAUAGCGACAACAGAUAAGUAAAUUAGAACCAAUUUAUAUUUCCAUCCCCCCUACUUAUUUUACAUUGUCCCAAUGUAAUUCAAAGAAUAAAAGUAAAGAUAAGUAGGAGAAAGAGAGAAAAAGAAACUCUCCAUGUAUUUCAACGUCGUGGAGGGUGGUCUCGUAGGUAGAGUGGGCCUUGGCUGAAAUAAAAAGAAUUUUGUGGGUUGACAUGUGGAAUUUAAUUUUGUCUUGGAAUGUUUUCCUGUAAAAAUAAAAAUGAAAAUAAAAUAAAAUAGAAAAAAUAAAUAAUAAUAAUAAUAAUAGGAAAAUUUUAAAAAAUUCAAAUUUAUUAGCUAAGCUAUAAACUCGAAAAAUAAAUUAUUAAAAACCAAGAUUACGAGAUUUGGUAAAACAGUCGUGAUAAAUGCACCAAGUAAGUUCCCAGGAAAGAGAGGUGAGCCACAAUGGACAUACUUAAGUACCAAGUCUUUCCCUAGACAGAACUAAUCCUUGACAUGCAUUUUCAUUUUCUAUUUUACCAAAAAUUUUAUUUGCAUAAAGGAAAAGAAAAUUUGGGUUGCCUCCCAACAGCACUUUGUUUAACGUCGUUUAGCUCGACGACCUGUGUUAUUCAAAUUCUUUAUCUUUUUGUAAUAGACUGCAAAGCGGUUGCAUGAUCUUCGAGAAGUCUUUUAUGAAUUGUCUGUAAAAUCCGUACACCGUGAAAUCAUUCAUGAAGACUUCAAUGAUUUUCUCAACAUAAUCGGAAAAUAUGCUCACCAUGCAUUUCUGGAAAGUGGUCGGAGCAUUACAGAGUCCAAACGACAUUCGUCUAUACGUAAACAUUCUGGAAGGGCACGUGAAAGUUGUUUUGUCUUGAUCCUCUGCCUCCCUCAAUGUUUCGAGGAUUUCUUUUUCCUCUUUCGCUUUCUUAUCCUUUGCGAGCCUCUCUGGAAAAAGAGGUGGCAUCAAGAAUGGUUUCUGAAUUUCUGAUUCCGGUCUGACUUUUGGAUCAGAGAUCUGCUUUUCCCGUUCAUUGCCUUACCCAUAACUUUUGUCUGGAACUGUUUCCAGAAUCUUUGCGCUACAAAGAGUUAUUGCACUUACAUUCUGCCUAGGAUUCAGCUCUGUUUGGGAAGGUAAUUUACCUUGAGAUUCCAAACGAUUAACUGCCAUCGAGAGUUUACUAACUUGAUUAGUUAACUCUUAUAUUGAUGCGUCUGUCCUCUUUUGAUAUUUUGCAGCAUUGAAAGCAAGUCUUUCCACAAGAGCGUCUAGAGAUGUGCUUGACUUGGGUUGUUAUUGUGGUGGUUACAAAUGUCUCGGUUGGUAUGAUGGAUUAUAUCGGGGAUUAGCUCCGUAAUUCAAGUUGGGAUGAUCCUUCCACCCGGGAUUGUAAGUGUUGAAGAAAGGAUCAUAACGUCUUUGUGGAGGUUCUGAAAAACCUCCGAUAGCAUCAACAUGUGCCUUUGAAUUUUCGUUAAGGAUUGGGCACAAAUCUGUCGAAUGUUCAGAUAUAGUACAAAUUCCACACGGUUGGGUCCGAUUCUUCUUUUCUGUAAGCAUAGAUUGAACAAUAUUAGUAAGCUUAUCCAAUUUAUCUUCUAAGGAUGAAACGUUUACCCAAUUAACCCGUCUUGUGGGUUCUGAAUCCGGCCGAUACUGUUGAGAAUUUGUCGCCAUGGUGGAUAUUAGUUCUCUUGCCCUUUGAGGAGUCAUAUUGACAAGCGCCCCUCCACUAACAGCGUCAAUCAUCUUCAUUUCCAUAGGGAGCAAACCCUCGUAGAAAUAUUGAAAAAGUGAUUGCACGGUCAAACUGUGUUGAGGACAACUUGCACACAGUUUUUUAUACCGCUCCCAAUAGUCGUAGAGCGAUUUACUCUCCAUUUGGCGAAUUCCCACUAUGUCUCUCCUUAGUUCAGCUACUUGCGAUGUUGGGAAAAAUCUGUCAAGAAAAACACGAGAUAAGUCAUCCCACGUUGUAAUAGAACCAGGGGGUAAGUAAAAUAACCAUUCUUUUGCUGUAUCAACUAAAGAAAAAAGAAAGGCCCGAAGUUUAAUUUUAUCUUCGGUUACUCCCUGUGGUUUCAAGCUUGAGCAGACCAUGUGGAAUUCUCUCAAGUGAGUGUGUGGAUUUUCAUUCUUCAAGCCUUGAAAAGUGAGCAAAAGGUGAAUUAGGACUGACUUUAACUCGAACGAGGUUUUUCCGACUGGAUAGUUGAUGCAUAACGGUGUUUGCUCGUUGGGAGCAGUGGCUAGUUGACGAAUGGUUCGGUUCACCAUCCUUUCUAGUUCACCGAGGUUGUCUUCUGCUUCUUUUAUUUUAGGAAGUGAUUUGGUCUCAGGUUCAACCACUUCAACUUUUUUUCCACGUUGAAUUGCUUCUACACGUUUAAGAACUUCUGUCUCUUUACGUCGUGCUCGUGCUGAUUUUUUGAUCUCUGGGUCGUAUUCGAGAUCUCCGGAGGAAGAUCUGGUCAUGAAAAUAAUCUAAACAAUUGUAAGUGUUGCCAGUCCCCGGCAACGGUGCCAAAACUGAUGGGUUGUCGAAUCCACCAAUAUAAACCUACGCCUAACUUACAAAUUAAACAGUAUAGGGAGUAGGGUCUAUCCCUCAGAGACUGGGUUUACUGCAAAUUAUUCCUCUCUUGACCAGAUUUUUGUCGGGGCAGUUGUCGUGCCCAAGAAAUUCGGGGGGAUAAAAUUUGAAACCUGAAAUAAAUAAAUAAAAGCGUAAAAAGUAAAAGUUGAAGAUAGAAUAAUAAAAACAGUGAAAUAAAUAUGAAGAAAAAUUAAUUAGAAUAAGCUCAGCUUUAGGCAUGAAUUUUCCUCAUCUUUAAACCGAUCCUCGAAAUUGGAUGAACUCAUCUUUUCCAAUAAGCUAGUUAUAGCUACCAAGGACGCCUCAGACACCAACUCUUCCUUGUGUAAAUUAGUUAUGGAACGUCCAAUAACUAACCCUUACAGGUCGAAUAACCACAAAACGUUCGUGAUUUAGAACUCCGGUAGCUUUGCGUUCUAGAAGAGCCUAGCUCGAACCAAUGCCCUCAACCGCGUGGGACAUUUAAAUCCGGUUACUACUUCCCUUGAUGGAACCAAAUAGCAAUCUCCACUUGGCACACCAAUGUGUUCACAGAAAAACGAUUAGAAACGUUCCUUUCAGAAUUCCAACUGUACGUCUAAUCACACAAAAUCAAACGACAUCUUUUUUUGACUUAGUACUGAUCUGAUUUUGUGAGUUGACAAAAUCAUACUCUUAAUCCGGAGAAGUAAUAAGUACUGGAAUUUUAGGAGUUAAAUGGCUCGGGUUCGUAACUCACGGGUUUUGACAAGGCUAAUUUCGGCCUAAAGCUGAAAAUGGGUUUAGUUGGCUAAGGUUUGGGGCAUGUUGGUAUUGGAAUAAUUAAAUAAGAUUGAAUAAAUGAAAAAAAAUGAAAGUGAGUGGUGAAGGUUAUGCAAGGUUGGAAAUUAAUUGCUGACAAAAAACAGGAAAGAAAAGAUUGAAUUGCAAGAGAUAAAAGCUUAAUUUAAAAACGAAAUGAUUAAAAACUUGAUGGAAAAUUUUAUAAAAAGAUUUGAUGAAAAACUUUAAAAAGAACUUACUGCAAAACUUGAUAAAAAACUUGGUAAUUAAAAACUUGAUAAAAGAACUAGAUGAAAAAUACUUGAAGAAAGAAAAACACUUAAUGAAAGACUUAAUAGAAAGCUUGAUUCAUGAAUUGAUGAAUUGAAAAACAAUGUAGCCUCUAUUUAUACUAGUAGCUUUACUAAAUUAGGAGCCAACUAGUAUAGAAAAUCAAGGAAAAUAUUCUAUAAUAUAAAAAAUAUCCCAAAAUAAUCUCCCACUAAGUCAACAAUUUCAGAUAAUUGUUCUUGGAAAAAUUCUGCUUUGGCCCUCAUUCUUUGCUUCUUUCUUCAAUCUAGCCCAAUUGUUUCAUUUUUCUUCUAUUUAGCCCCAAAUUGCAUUCCUGCACAAAAUUCAAUAAAUAUGGCAAAAUUCGUGGUGCAUUCUCAUAAAUUAACCCAUUUAAUUACAUAAAAUAUGUAACUUUAGCAUUUAAUCAGCCUCUUACCAGAACAUCAAUGGAUGUUAGUGUAAAGAGAUGGAGCAUGAUACGCCCUGCUCAAGAUACUCCUAAAGAAAGGCAAUGGAUUUCAAAUCUGGACUUGGUGAUGCCAACAGACCAUGUCCCUUUACUGUUUUUCUACAAACCUAAUGGCUCAUCUGACUACUCCAAGCCUCAAGUGCUACAGGAGGCUUUAAGCAAGACUCUUGUGCAAUUCUAUCCUAUGGCUGGGAGGUUGGGACGUGAUGAAAAUGGUAGGCUCGAGAUAUUAUGCAACGCAGAGGGUGUUCUGUGGAUAGAAGCUGAAACUACAUCGGCUAUGGAUGAUCUCGACGAUUUUACUCCCUGCUCAAAACUGACGAAACUGGUUCCCAAGGCUGAUUACUUUGGAGAUAUCAGUUCUUAUCCGCUUAUUAUGGCUCAGGUAAGUGAAUGAAGGACUAUUAUCUUAUUAUAGAUGAUAACUGUUACUUGCAGUAGGAGACCAAGGAUAAGAUCUGAGAAAACUCAAACAGCCUGAUACUGAAGUUAAAGCACAAGAAAAACUAAGCUAUCAGCUAAGAAGUUGAUAUAUGGCCUUUUUUUCAAAAAUUGAGUUAAAAAGAAUCGAUUAAUUAUGAAAAUACCCAGGUAUAAAAUCUUAUACGAGAAUGACCCAUUUUCUACGGUAAAAAUUGGUACCGCGAGACUAAUUAGCGGUACCGAUAUUUUUGUAAAAAGUAUUACCAUCAACAAAGUAUCAAUACUUUCUAUUCAUCUUCACAAGAAAGUGCUAAUUACGGAGGUUCAUAGUGGUGGCUUAGUAGUGAAGAAGAUGAAACCAAAACCCUUUUCUCUUCAAUGAACCUUUGGUUUGACUCAUUUGUAAUAAUCAUUUUCGUUCGUCGAAUUUGACUGCAUUUUAAAUGGAAAACUAUAAUAAUCCUCACUGAAGAAAAGCUAAGAACAAGAUUAGUCAAAGCGAACAAGAUUAUUACAAAUGAGUCGGGCAAAAGGUUCAUUGAAGAGAAAAGGGUUUCGGUUUUCUCUUCUUCACUGCUAAGCCACCACCAUGGAACUUUUAGCACUUUCUCGUGAAGCUAAAUGAUACCAUCAACAAAGUAUUGAUCCUUUACCGAUGCCACCAAUGAGUCCAACAACAUUCAAAAUAAAUAUUUUUUUUUAAAAAAACAUGGGGUGGUGCCUUCAAUGGGAAUGGUGGCACCAAAUUUUAAGGUAGAAAAUGGGUCAUUCACGUACAAGAUUUUACACUUGAGUCAUUUUUAUAAUUAACCAAUUUUUUUGGUCAAUUUUGAAAAUAAAAAACUUUAAUACUUUUGUUUCAAAAAGGUCAAUUGUUGUGUGUUUAUUUUGCUAGGUAACUACUCUUAAAUACGGUGGAGUCUGUCUUGGAAUAGCAACUCAUCAUACUUUGACUGAUGGCACAACGGCCUUUCAUUUCAUCAGUAGUUGGUCUGAAAUGGCAAGAGGCUUGCCCCAAAUUAGUAUGCCACCACUUAUUGACCGAACCCUUCUCCGAGCAAGAGUGCCACCAAUCCCUAUAUUUCAUCAUCUCGAAUGUAACCCACCUCCUUUCUUAAACACCUCUACGUCACUAGGCCCUAAUAACCAUAAACCCUCAACUGUAUCUGUUUUCAAGAUCAUACAAAAUCAACUUAAUACCCUAAAAGCCAAGUCAUGGGAACAUGGAAACAAAACCAAUUGCAGCACCUACACCAUUCUAGCUGCAUACAUAUGACGCUGUGCAACUAAAGCUCGGGGCCUCUCAUAUGAC
rnacentral:lncRNA from 1 species